GGACUCAUGCGCUGACCGUUGCCUUGUACGACAGAUCGUGUGCAUUCACUGUCACCAGCGACCUGGUGGGACGUUGGUGCUGGUUAAUCAGGAUGGUAUCCAGCACCCCCCCCUCCACUUCCCCCCCGGCGGCCAUCUCCUGGCCUUCCUGUCCUGCCUGGAGACGGGCCUGCUGCCCCGUGGUCAGCUGGAGCCUCCACUCUGGAGCCAGAGAGGCAAGGGUAAGGUGUUUCCUAAGCUAAGGAAGAGGACCAGCACAGUCAGGCUGGUAGAUCAGGAGGGUGAGGAACAGACAGCAGCUGACUAUGUGUUCCGCAUCGUCUAUCCUGGACACCACCACG